GAUGAACGCUAGCUACAGGCUUAACACAUGCAAGUCGAGGGGUAACGAGAGGGAAGCUUGCUUUCCUUGUCGACGACCGGCGCACGGGUGCGUAACGCGUAUCCCAACUGCCCCCAACUAGGGAAUAACCUUUCGAAAGUAAGACUAAUACCCUAUAAUUUCCUAAGAUGUCAUCUGACGAGGAAUAAAGAUUUAUCGUGUGUGGAUGGGGAUGCGUCUGAUUAGCUUGUUGGCGGGGUAAAGGCCCACCAAGGCAACGACAAGUUGGGGUUCUGAGAGGAAGGUCCCCCACGUUGAAACUGAGACACGGUCCAAACUCCUACGGGAGGCAGCAGUGAGGAAUAUUGGACAAUGGGCGGAAGCCUGAACCAGCCAAGUAGCGUGCAGGAUGACGGCCUAUGGGUUGUAAACUGCUUUUAUACAGGAAAAAAGUUAGCCACGUGGGGUUAUUUGUAGGUACUGUAUGAAUAAGGACCGGCUAAUUCCGUGCCAGCAGCCGCCGUAA
rnacentral:rRNA from 1 species